rnacentral:lncRNA from 1 species
GUAUGGGAAUUAUGGGAAUUACAAUUCAAGAUGACAUUUGGGUGUGGACACAGCCAAACUAUAUCAGGAGCCAAGCAAGAAUAUUAUUUUUAAUGAAGAUGCUGAGGAGGCUUCACUGAUAAGUAACAACGCAAAUAAAAUGAGGGAGAAAGACAUGAAGAUAUCUCAGAAAAGAGUAUUCUAGACAGUUGAAAUAGCAACUUCAAAGACUAUGCCAAAGGAACAGCAAGGAGAAUGCUAGCAGAUGAGGACCCAGAGAGUUAGAUCAUGUAGGUAGCAUUUAGCAGGAUUUGGCACAUAAUAGUGCUAAAUCAAUGGUAACUAUUGUGAAACCAGAAAAUCUGAGACAGAUCUCGGUUAAUUUAGAAAGUUUAUUUUGCCAAGGUUGAGGAUGCACUGGGACACAGCCUCAGGA